rnacentral:lncRNA from 1 species
UCGAAAUUAUUAUAGUGUUUUUCCGUUGAGAGGUAAAUUGCUCAAUGUGAGACAAUUUCUAUUUCUCUUUGUUUAGUAUGUGAUUCUUUAAACUUAUUUCUAUGCAUUAUUUGAGAAGUGCCUAACUUUAAUUACACUUCUUGAGCAUGAAAGAAUUGAGAGCUAAAACACCAAGUUGAUGCAGAAUAAUGAGAGGGUUAGAUAUGGAGCUGACUAUUAUAUGCAAAAAAGCACUAGCUGUAUGUGACUAGGCCAAAAUUCACCAUCAGUGUACAAGUUCUAUAGGACUUGUUUGGUAACUAUAUUAACACCUUCGCUAAGGCUAACCAUGCUUUGAGUUGGUCAAGCUUGAAUCAAGCUUGGUUAAUCUAUCAUUGAAUCUCAGCGAAACUGUUUUCAACAGCAAGUUGUUCUUAUAAGGCAGAUCCUGUACCUGCACCCAACUAUUUCAAAUUAAAAGCCUUGAUAAGGACAAAUGUCUUGUAACUCAUUUAACUUCAUAUUUUAUAGAAUUAUUCUUGAAACUGAAGCAAAUGUUAUAGCUGGGAAGGUUGCAACCCAUAGCAUGGAUUCUAGAGCGCCU